rnacentral:rRNA from 1 species
GAUGAACGCUGGCGGCGUGCCUAAUACAUGCGAGUCGAGCGAACAGACGAGGAGCUUGCUCCUCUGACGUUAGCGGCGGACGGGUGAGUAACACGUGGAUAACCUACCUAUAAGACUGGGAUAACUUCGGGAAACCGGAGCUAAUACCGGAUAAUAUAUUGAACCGCAUGGUUCAAUAGUGAAAGACGGUUUUGCUGUCACUUAUAGAUGGAUCCGCGCCGCAUUAGCUAGUUGGUAAGGUAACGGCUUACCAAGGCAACGAUGCGUAGCCGACCUGAGAGGGUGAUCGGCCACACUGGAACUGAGACACGGUCCAGACUCCUACGGGAGGCAGCAGUAGGGAAUCUUCCGCAAUGGGCGAAAGCCUGACGGAGCAACGCCGCGCGAGUGAUGAAGGUCUUCGGAUCGUAAAACGCUGUUAUUAGGGAAGAACAAAUGUGUAAGUAACUAUGCACGUCUGGACGGUACCUAAUCAGAAAGCCACGGCUAACUACGU